rnacentral:lncRNA from 1 species
GCACUUACUAAUUAAUCUUAUCAUAAGAGAAUAUUGGACACACGCUUGAAAGGCAGCCUUUUCUUUUUCUCUUUUCAAAGACAAAGAAACUCAGCUAUUAAUAUAAAGGCAAUUGGGUGGCUCAUAUAAAUUCGAAUCCAUUAUCCAUACCAAGAAGUCAAGAACAUAAAAUCAAGACCUGGGAAUAAAUAAUUGUGACCUAGUGGACCAAUGAUGGGCACUGCAAUCCACAAUUCACACAAUCAUAUUCAAUUUGAUAACCAAGAAAUGGGCAGUAAUUGUAUAUGCACAAUAAGCACCUAAACAAUGAUCAAUUAACACCUAUUACAGCAGCGGACAAAGUCAGAAAGAAGGUUUUGUACUUCAAAUGGCAAUCCUGUUUCUCCUUUUUGCUCUCAUUUUUUGUAUCAACUUUCCACUUCUAUCUUGCAGUAUGUAUCAGACGCUUUGCUAUUCACAUUUCAAAGGCAAAACGAUUCAUCAACCAUCAUCAGAACCCAAUUACAGUUAUAGACAUAUGGUGAUCUUAGCUGAUUAAUAUCUCAAUCUCAAAACUCCCGCACGUCCAGGGAGGAAAAAAAAAUAUCACUUUAGAAAAAACGCAUUAAUUAAUACUGUAAUUUUAAAAAAUAUAUUAAAAUAAUUUUAAUAUUAUAAAAAUUUAUUAA